ensembl:lncRNA novel transcript
UGAGGACCAUAAGAUAGAAGAUGAGAAUCCAUCUGCCCUCUUCUCUGCACCCAGGCUUCAAUCCUGUUUGAUCAUGCAGGGGCUACAAGGCCUUCGACACAAAGAACUUGUCUUAGAUUCUAAUCAGUUUAACAAAUAGGACAGACAGCUGCUGAGCACUGUCUGAGUGACACUGAUUUACAUACAAAUGAACCACCAAUGUCCCCUUCUAUCAACUCAGAAUAAAAUCUGGUUUUAGCAUAUGCAGUCCUACGAGACAUGGUUAAAGGAUAUGAAUGAUAGAUAGAGAUAAAAGAAAUCAAGGACCAUUCCUCCACAAGUCUCCAAAGAGGAAAACAACAAUCGAAGAAAAAAGAGUGAGAGAACAGAUGGGCUGGCAGAGUUUUGCUUUCUAUGUGACAUUGUGUACUUAUUAUUCGCAUGAGGACUAAUUUAUAAACCCGGAUAGUGUUUAUAAACUAUACUGUCCUAAUGGAAAUGAAAGCAUUAAUACAACUAGAAGAUUCUUUA